UGACGUCUUCAGGGCGGGGCGCAAUUCCCCACCGGCGGUAGGUGCUUCGGCACGAGCCCGCGAGCGCCUCCGGUUCCGCCGGAGGGUCAGCAGAGCCGGUCCAAUGCCGGAGCCGACGGUUACAGUCCGGAUGAAAGAAGACGGCA
rnacentral:ncRNA from 2 species